rnacentral:SRP_RNA from 1 species
GCCGGGCAUGGUGGUGCAUGCCUGUAAUCCCAGCUACUAGGGAGACUGAGGCAGGAGAAUUGCUUGAAUCCAGGAGGCGGAGAUUGCAGUGAGCUGAGAUCACGCCACUGCACUCCAGCCUGGACAACAGAGCAAGACUCUGUCUCAA